CGGGGUUCCGUCGGCGGUUGGUGUAUCGGGGGAGGCGGCAGCAGCUGCGGUGAGGGUGGUGUGUGAGGUGUUGUACCUGGAAGUGGAGGUGGUGAGUGCAGCAGCGGUUCCGGAAGUGGUGUCGCCGGCGGAGGCGGAUGUGACGUCAUCGGUGGGGUCUCCGGCCGUGUCUUCAUGGUCAAUGGCGGCGGGGCAGACAACAUCAGGUGAAGAUGUGCGUGAUUUUAGCAAGGUGCUGAAAAAUAAGUUCAGAUCAAAGAAAUACUUUGCCAAACAUCCUCGCUUGGGUUAUUUACCAGUACAAACAGUUCUAGAAGGCGAGAACCUUGAGACUGGAUCUGUUGGAGUUGCACACAGCGCAACGCGUCUUUGAUCAACACAAAUUGACACAAACCGAGCAACUUCUGAAUGUGACUGAAGUAAUCAACUGUUUAACGUCCAUUUAUGAUGUUUUGGAACAAAACCACAAGGACUUGGUCAAUGUGCCACUCUGUGUCGACAUGUGUCUGAACUGGCUGCUGAACGUAUUUGAUACGGGUAUGAGUGGAAGAAUCAGAGUGCUUUCUUUGAAAAUUGGCUUGACGUGACUCUUCAAGGAUCAUCUAGAGGAAAAAUACAAGUAUCUCUUCAAACAAGUCGCUGAACCCACAGAUUUAUGUGACCAACGAAGCCUGAGUCUUUUGCUUUACGAUGCAGUCCAGAUCCCUUGGCAGCUGGGUGAGGUAGCUUCAUUUGGAGGCUGCAACAUUGAACCAAGUAUCCGCAGUUGCUUCCAACAUGGCCAGAACAAACCAGAGAUUGAUGUUGAACGCUUUGUCGAGUGGAUGAGAUUGGAGCCUCAGUCCAUGGUGUGGCUGCCUGUUCGACACCGUGUGGCAGCUGCUGAAACUGCAAAACAUCAGGCUAAGUGUAACAUCUGCAAAGAGUACCCAAUCGUAGGUUUCAGGUACCGCAGUCUCAAGCACUUCAAUUCUGACAUCUGCCAAAGCUGUUUCUUUUCGGGGCGCACAUCAAAGGGACACAAGUUACAUUGCCCCAUGGUGGAGUACUGCACUCCGAACCUACCCCGGAAGAGAGAGCCCAGAGAAUUGCCAAAGCUGUCCGCAAACAGUCAAUAGAAGUGAAGGAAACUUGGGAGCAAUUGAAAACCCAUGCGAGCAACUGGCAGAAACAGGUGGAAAAGGUGUUGGAGAAACUUCAAGAACUGCAGAAAGCUCUGGAUGAUCUUGAGGCUCAUGUGAUAACAGCUGAAGGGGUCCGCACUGAUUGACAACCUGUGGGUGAACUGCUUAUUGACUCAUUGCAGGAUCACAUUGAUAAAACCACAGUUCAGCUAGGAUCCAGCUGUGCUUAGUUUCAAUUUGGCUUUGGAUCCAAUCUAAUAAUACUGUAAAGGAAUAUAAGAACCAAGGGCAGGAGAAGACUGUGCAGCCCACUGUGCCUGCUUCCUCAUUCACUACAAUUGUGGCUCAUCUUGGGCUUCAAAUUUGCUUUCCUGCUUGCUCCCUGAGUCCCUCGAUUCCCUGAGAGAAUGAAGGUAAAUUUUGUUCUUAAGUACAUUCAGUGAAAACACUUGAUAUAUAUUUGAUUUUAUCAUUAUGAGCCUGUUUUGAGCAGCAUUUUCUUGGGACGUAAAUUUUUUUUGGAUUUGUCACAAUCUAUAUUGGAAGAGCCUACUAGAGAUUGAACCCCACUAUUCCAUAAAUAAUUGUAAAUAUGACGAGUGUAACCUCAAGGAUUGUUAAUGUCUGACUGUUACCGUUAUUGAGGAUAAAAGAAAUUUUCUCCAGGCUUCAUCAAUUAAUGGGGGAAAAAGUACAUUUAUUAUUUUAAAUGUAUUCUUUAACAAGUGACAAAGUGGAUUAUUAAUGAUGAACAUGUAAACUUAAACCAUUCUACAUUCAGGUGCAGACAUGCAUACACUUGUCACCAAUAAGGUGGCAGGAUAGUCAAGAUGAACAGUUAUUCUGCAGUAUCGUGGGUGGGAGAUAUCAGUAAAAAGAACAAACCCUGCAGAACAAGACUCUCAGCCAAAAGCGGGGUAAAUGAGGUGACUUUCUCACAGUUCCUCUGCUUUUUGACAAUGGUGUCGUGUCACCGAUCACCACAUUGAUCCUCAAUUUGACAGUUGAUCAAUUGAACCUAUGUCUGGGCUUGGAUCAGAAAAAGGCCUGAUUCCACACUGUAGGCAUUCUAACACAAGUUUGAUUUGUGUAUGCUGAAAAGAUUUUGGGCCAGAAAGUCCUCAGCAAAGACAUUUUGGUUGAGAGUUAUGUGCUGUGUUGAAUUAAUGUAGCGACUGCCACCCACUGUUGUAGAGUAUAGCUGAAAAACAGAUGAGUAUGGAGGAACUGAUGGGUACAUCUCCAGCAAGGUAACAGCCUUUCAGGAAAAUUGCGCAAGUAACUAGUAAAAUUUGAGUGAGAUUUUUUGGUAAAUUAUUCUUUAACUGAAGUGCGGAAAAAUGUGAGCUCAGCGAUUUUUUUUUUGGUGAUCAACUUCGACUCCAUUAUCCUGCAUCACAAUCAAAUUCUAAUAUUUCUGAACUGAAGAAUCAUAGAAUUUUACAGUAUAGAAGGUGGCCAUUUGGCCCACUCUGUCUGUACUGGCUCCUGAAAGAGCUACCCAGCUGUGUCUCUGUAGGCCUCUAAAUUCAGCACUUUCAAAUAUAUAUCUCAGGAAGGGUCACCGGACCUUAGAUGUUAAUUCCAAUUUCACUUCACAGAUGCUGUCAGGCCUGUUGAUCUUUUCCAGCAACUUCUGUUUUUGUCAAGUAAAGAGAUUUAGAUUCUCCCUUACUGGAGAUUGUCAUUGCCUGACACUUUUUUGUAAUGCAUAAUUCGUACCACUUGUCAGCCCUAGCCUAAACUUUGCCCAGGCCUUGCUGCAUAUGGACAUGGACUGCAGUAAUCAGUGCCUAUACCCACUUCUGACUUU